AAAGAAUCAGCCCCCUCCGACUUAUCAUUCAAGGCAUUCGACGAUCACUCUCCCUUUGCAUGUUGAAGACCGCUUCCAAGCCUGGAGCUGAUUCCAAGCAGAAAUCUGUUCAAACUGUCACAAAAACUGAGCAAUAAACAAGAUUAGUUGAUAUAGGAUUAGGGAUAUCUCGAAAAAGUUGGUGUAUUUGAUUUUGGUUCUGGUUCUGGAUGAACAGAAUCGUGUGUAGCACGCGAUCUUGGUGGUGAUUUCUCCGGGCUUCGAUGUCAGCGACGGGAAAAUCCAUACAGGUUGAAUGGUUGGUUGACUGGGUUGAGAUCAAUUGCUUGUCGGCAAGGUUUCGUGGCCAUAGGAGGUUAAUAUCCAGAUACUUGAUGUGAGGUGAAAGAUCGGAUCGGAGUUGGAUGACAGGUGGUGGUUGGAUCGAGGAUUGGUGGCCAUCGUCAGUUUCGGUGGUUCUGCGUUCCUUGCAGAACUCAUGGGCCUGGACUUGGUGGUACGAAGGGCCUGGGCGUUUGCCAUGGGCUUGGGGUUUUUUUGGUUUUUUUUUAUUUUGUAUGUAUUUUAUUUUUAAUGAAUUGUUUUGUGAUGAUUUAUUUUAAUAAACUACACUUUGUUAUCUCAAA